AUUUAUAUAGUUUAAACAAAACAUUACAUUUUCACUGUAAAAAUAAAGCGAACUUUUAUAAAUA
rnacentral:tRNA from 1 species